AUUGAACGCUGGCGGCAUGCCUUACACAUGCAAGUCGAACGGUAACGGGCCUUCGGGUGCCGACGAGUGGCGCACGGGUGCGUAAUACAUCGGAACGUGCCCGAUCGUGGGGGAUAACGAGGCGAAAGCUUUGCUAAUACCGCAUACGAUCUACGGAUGAAAGCCGGGGACCGCAAGGCCUUGCGCGGACGGAGCGGCCGAUGGCAGAUUAGGUAGUUGGCGGGAUAAAAGCUUACCAAGCCGACGAUCUGUAGCUGGUCUGAGAGGAUGAUCAGCCACACUGGGACUGAGACACGGCCCAGACUCCUACGGGAGGCAGCAGUGGGGAAUUUUGGACAAAGGGCGCAAGCCUGAUCCAGCCAUGCCGCGUGCAGGAUGAAGGCCUUCGGGUUGUAAACUGCUUUUGUACGGAACGAAAAGCCUUCUUUUAAUACAGGAGGGUCAUGACGGUACCGUAAGAAUAAGCACCGGCUAACUACGUG
rnacentral:rRNA from 1 species